UGCUGGCUGUCUUUGACCGUACACCAGAAU
rnacentral:piRNA from 1 species